rnacentral:rRNA from 1 species
UAAANUAGGAUUAGAUACCCNUAUUAUACCAAAAAGUAAUUUUUCAUGGACNUAAGUAUUAAUAGUUAUUUUCUAAAAAUUUGAAAAAUUUGGCGGUGGUUCAGUCUUGUCAGAGGAACCUGUCUUUUAAACGAUACACCACGAAAUAUCUUACUUGAGCUGAUAGAGUAUGUAUACCGUCAUUAUUAGGUAAUUUUUAUAGAACAAAUUACUAAAAGAUUAGCAGUGAAGCUAAAUAUAUUAGAUCAAGGUGCAGCUUAUGCUUAAGUUAAGAUGGGUUACAAUAAAAUUUAUUUAGUACGGAUAUUCAAAUUAAAUUUAAAUUGAAAUGAGAAUUUGAUUGUAAAGUCAGUUUAAUAAGCUGUCUAGAUAUAAGCUCUGAAGCAUGUACAUAUCGCCCGUCGCUUUCAUUUAUAAAAUGAGAUAAGUCGUAACAUAGUAGAUGUACUGGAAAGUGCAUA